GAUGAACGCUGGCGGCGUGCCUAAUACAUGCAAGUCGAGCGAACAGAUGAGGAGCUUGCUCCUCUGACGUUAGCGGCGGACGGGUGAGUAACACGUGGAUAACCUACCUAUAAGACUGGGAUAACUUCGGGAAACCGGAGCUAAUACCGGAUAAUAUAUUGAACCGCAUGGUUCAAUAGUGAAAGACGGUUUUGCUGUCACUUAUAGAUGGAUCCGCGCCGCAUUAGCUAGUUGGUAAGGUAACGGCUUACCAAGGCAACGAUGCGUAGCCGACCUGAGAGGGUGAUCGGCCACACUGGAACUGAGACACGGUCCAGACUCCUACGGGAGGCAGCAGUAGGGAAUCUUCCGCAAUGGGCGAAAGCCUGACGGAGCAACGCCGCGGGAGUGAUGAAGGUCUUCGGAUCGUAAAACUCUGUUAUUAGGGAAGAACAAAUGUGUAAGUAACUAUGCACGUCUUGACGGUACCUAAUCAGAAAGCCACGGCUAACUACGUG
rnacentral:rRNA from 1 species